rnacentral:tRNA from 1 species
GUUUUAAUAGUUUAAGAAUAAAACUUUGGUCUUGUAAACCAAAAAUGAGACUUUUCUCUUAAAACU